GCUGAUUUUGAGAUUCACCACCACGCGGCAACACCGACUGGCUGAAAUAAUCCUUCGCCGGGCUCCACCCAGACCCCUCCUUCUGAGUGGCCGGCCGGCGGUGCCUGCGAAGGAAAGCGCUGGGAUGGCUGGUGCCGGCUGAGCCUGGACGGCAGCGGAGUCAGGGAGGCCUUCGUGGGAGGAGCGGAGGGACGUGGGCUGUGGACCAAGCACGGAGGAAUUGGAGCGCAGAGCCUGCGGGGGUUUCAUAAAUGGAGGGACGCCGCGCAGCAGGACCUGCCGUCCGCAGGGGUGUCUCCCUGAGGCCCAGCCUCAACCCUGUCCUGCCCGGCGUGCGCUUGUCCCGCUCACAUUGUUUCUACUCAGUUCUUCGAGUCCCUCAGCAUAACAUCUGUGCUUCCUCCAAAGUAGAGUGUGCGUGAGUGUAUGGGUAUCUUCUCGACCACAAUGUCUACGGUUGCGGAGUUCCUAAAUAGGCCUAGAGAAGAGGUGGCCAUGAGGAAUUCCGUGAAGAAAACACCAGAUUGAAUUGCAAGAGGUCCCAGCUUGGAACUCAGAGGGUAGGAGGAAAAUCAUUUCCCCACUAAAGCCCCACGUGCACAGGAGGAGCAUGGUGAUUCUUGUCCUCUCCAGAUCCACGGUUGUGAUGUGCUCAGAAAACAGAAUCUCCAGCCAUCCUUUGUUACUUCCCCGUGCAAAAAGAAAAUCUCAAGAAAAAAAGGAAAGCGACCGCGAUGUGUUUGGGAGCUGGUCCCCAUUCUGAUUCACAGCCUUGGAACUUAGGGAAGGUCCAUCCAUGUUGUCUCAAAUUAUAUGCCAACAAACAGGAC